rnacentral:rRNA from 1 species
CCCUUAGAUGUCCUGGGCUGCACGCGCGAUACACUGAUGUGUCCAGUAAGCACCUAACCUAUUCCGAGAGGAGCGGGUAACCUUAGCAAAGCACAUCGUGAUGGGGAUAGAUUAUUGCAAUUAUUAGUCUUGAACGAGGAAUUCCUAGUAAGCACAAGUCAUCAGCUUGUGUUGAUUACGUCCCUGCCCUUUGUACACACCGCCCGUCGCUCCUACCGAUUGAAUGUUCCGGUGAGCUCUUCGGACUGCGCGGUCUGCAGUUUCUGCGUUCCGUGCGGAAAGUUGUGCAAACCUUAACAUUUAGAGGAAGGAGAAGUCGUAACA